ensembl:lncRNA
CGGGCCUGUUUGCAUUCCUCUCAGUUAAUAAGUGUUUGUCUGAUCCCUGGUGGAGGAGGGGGUGUGAAGAUCACCUCCCCCUCGACUCACCCAGCUGUGAAGAGGACAGCACUGAUGCUGAGAAGGUGGAUGAAGAGGAGGAAGAGGAGAACUUCCCAGACACACUCCUCAGCCGUUGACUUAUUGAAUUAACUUCAUUGCUGCAGAUCCCGCGUGGAGGUAAAGUGAAGAAGAAAUAAAGAGAAAAGAGGCCGUUUUUAAAGUGAAAAAAGUGUCAGAAAGACCUUCACAUUAAGGCUAAAGGACUUCUGUGAUAAAUCUGGGCCUCCACCAUCAACAAGACGAGAGGGAGACCAGUAAGAGACCCCCACCCCCACUCCCACAUGACAAUGGGGGGGGGGGGUCUGUGGAAAAACUGGAGGGCUCCCACAGAUACCAGUGGCUCCCAGCAGAUCCUUCCUCAACCGGUGGGUCUUCUGACACUUCCUCCAGAGCAGUCAUCUGCAGAAGAUGAUCAUGAGAUGAUUAGAGAGCUUCUGGA